rnacentral:tRNA from 1 species
GGGAGAGCGCCGCGUUCGCAACGCGGAGGUUGCCGGUUCGAGCCCGGUGCCGUCCA